rnacentral:lncRNA from 1 species
CAGGAGGUCUGGGAGAAAGAGAAGUCCUGUUCACAUCAUGCUUAGUUGUACGUUUCAACAGAACCUCCAGGUUAAUCAGCUGACCCACAUGUACAAUGCCGCCCAAACCUCUUCUUCAGCGCUACAUCCCCAUUGGAGCUCAGAGUUGGAAUGAGCCUUCCAGUAGCUGCCCUGACAGAGGGACCUGGACUCAAUCUCUGAGAGCUGGGCUUCACCUCUGCUGCCUAAGGACCUUCAUCCUGGACGCCCCAGGGAAGUUUCAGGGCCUUCCCCUUUGAAUUCAGAUGGGCUGCUAACCUUGGAGGAACUAGAUCUACUCCUGCCUACCAUGGCCAUACUCCAAACCCUAAAAAACUCCCUGGAAAUUUUCACCAAGAGAAUUAGACUGCCCAGACUGCCCAGGUACUGGAUUGGAGGAAGGAGCCAAGAAAUUUGUAUGGACUCAUCCUAAAUUUGCCUGAAGUAACCAAUAUGAACAACUCACAUUGGCCUAGGCAAAAGAGGGUAUCUAAAGUUCCUGAGGAGACCCCUUUAGUGGAGAUUCAGCCUGUCAGGCCCCAUCGAAGGAGAAGGAAAGCUUGAAAGGCAUUGAGGCAUUCUGGCUCUGGGAUUGUGAAUGAUCUGGACAGUUCCCCACAGGCUAAGGAUGUUUUAGCCCUGGAGAUUUUGUGCUGAAAAGGCUUCACCUUUAGAAUCAAGUACUUCUUAAUUCAGCAGUUCAAAACCUGGCACUAUUUCCUGCUCUAAAUAGUAAAAUAAAGAUUUUUGUCCACGUAUGCCCUUUUCUUUU